GGAAUUCGAUUCAGGCCUAACACAUGCAAGUCGAGCGGGGUUUUCGGACCUAGCGGCGGACGGGUGAGUAAUGCGUAGGAAGCUGCCCGAUAGAGGGGGAUACCAGUUGGAAACGACUGUUAAUACCGCAUAAUGUCUACGGACCAAAGUGUGGGACCUUCGGGCCACAUGCUAUCGGAUGCGCCUACGUGGGAUUAGCUAGUUGGUGAGGUAAUGGCUCACCAAGGCGACGAUCUCUAGCUGGUUUGAGAGGAUGAUCAGCCACACUGGAACUGAGACACGGUCCAGACUCCUACGGGAGGCAGCAGUGGGGAAUAUUGGACAAUGGGCGCAAGCCUGAUCCAGCCAGGCCGCGUGUGUGAAGAAGGCCUUCGGGUUGUAAAGCAAAGUCAGCGAGGAGGAAGGGUGGUGUGUUAAUAGCACAUCAUUUGACG
rnacentral:rRNA from 1 species